AAACUGAAGAGUUUGAUCCUGGCUCAGAUUGAACGCUGGCGGCAUGCCUAACACAUGCAAGUCGAACGGUAACGCGAAGAGCUUGCUCUUUGGCGACGAGUGGCGGACGGGUGAGUAAUACUUAGGAAUCUACCCAGUAGCGGGGGACAACUCGGGGAAACUCGAGCUAAUACCGCAUACGCCCUACGGGGGAAAGCAGGGGAUCUUCGGACCUUGCACUAUUGGAUGAGCCUAAGUCGGAUUAGCUAGUUGGUAGGGUAAAAGCCUACCAAGGCGACGAUCCGUAGCUGGUCUGAGAGGACGAUCAGCCACACUGGGACUGAGACACGGCCCAGACUCCUACGGGAGGCAGCAGUGGGGAAUAUUGGACAAUGGGGGCAACCCUGAUCCAGCAAUGCCGCGUGUGUGAAGAAGGCCUGCGGGUUGUAAAGCACUUUCAGUAGAGAAGAAAAGCCUAAGGUUAAUAACCUUGAGUCUUGACGUAACCUACAGAAGAAGCACCGGCUAACUCCGUGCCAGCAGCCGCGGUAAUACGGAGGGUGCAAGCGUUAAUCGGAAUUACUGGGCGUAAAGCGCGCGUAGGUGGUUUUGUAAGUCGGAUGUGAAAGCCCUGGGCUCAACCUGGGAAUUGCAUUCGAUACUGCUUAACUAGAGUAUGGUAGAGGGAAGUGGAAUUUCCGGUGUAGCGGUGAAAUGCGUAGAUAUCGGAAGGAACACCAGUGGCGAAGGCGACUUCCUGGGCCAAUACUGACACUGAGGUGCGAAAGCGUGGGUAGCAAACAGGAUUAGAUACCCUGGUAGUCCACGCCGUAAACGAUGAGAACUAGAUGUUGGGAGGGUUGCCUCUCGGUGUCGCAGCUAACGCGUUAAGUUCUCCGCCUGGGGAGUACGCCGGCAACGGUAAAACUCAAAGGAAUUGACGGGGACCCGCACAAGCGGUGGAGCAUGUGGUUUAAUUCGAUGCAACGCGAAG
rnacentral:rRNA from 1 species